rnacentral:rRNA from 1 species
GUAGGGAAUAUUGGACAAUGGGCGAAAGCCUGAUCCAGCCAUGCCGCGUGAUAGAUGAAGGCCCUCUGGGUUGUAAAUAUCUUUUAUCUGGGAAGAAACUCCUCUAUUCUUAGAGGCCUGACGGUACCAGAGGAAUAAGCACCGGCUAACUCCGUGCCAGCAGCCGCGGUAAUACGGAGGGUGCAAGCGUUAUCCGGAUUCACUGGGUUUAAAGGGUGCGUAGUCGGGUUGAUAAGUCAGUGGUGAAAGCUCCGGGCUUAACUUGGAAACUGCCAUUGAUUCUGUCAGGCUUGAAUGUCGUAGAGGUAAGCGGAAUGUUGCAUGUAGCGGUGAAAUGCUUAGAUAUGUUACAGAACACCAAUUGCGAAGGCAGCUUACUAUGCGAUAAUUGACGCUGAGGCACGAAAGCGUGGGGAGCAAACAGGAUUAGAAACCCCAGUAGUCC